UACGGAGGGUGCAAGCGUUAUCCGGAUUCACUGGGUUUAAAGGGUGCGUAGGCGGGUAGGUAAGUCAGUGGUGAAAUCCUGGAGCUCAACUCCAGAACUGCCAUUGAUACUAUCUAUCUUGAAUAUUGUGGAGGUAAGCGGAAUAUGUCAUGUAGCGGUGAAAUGCUUAGAUAUGACAUAGAACACCCAUUGCGAAGGCAGCUUACUACGCAUAUAUUGACGCUGAGGCACGAAAGCGUGGGGAUCAAACAGGAUUAGAUACCCUGGUAGUCCACGCCCUAAACUAUGGAUACUCGACAUAUGCGAUACACUGUAUGUGUCUGAGCGAAAGCAUUAAGUAUCCCACCUGGGAAGUACGUUCGCAAGAAUGAAACUCAAAGGAAUUGGCGGGGGUCCGCACAAGCGGUGGAGUAUGUAGUUUAAUUCGAUGAUACGCGAGGAACCUUACCUGGGCUAGAAUGCUGGGAGACCGCUAGUGAAAGCUAGUUUUGUAGCAAUACACUGCCAGUAAGGUGCUGCAUGGCCGUCGUCAGCUCGUGCCGUGAGGUGUUGGGUUAAGUCCCGCAACGAGCGCAACCCCUAUCUUUAGUUGCCAACAGGUAAUGCUGGGAACUCUAAAGAAACUGCCGCCGUAAGGUGUGAGGAAGGAGGGGAUGAUGUCAGGUCAUCAUGGCCUUUAUGCCCAGGGCUACACACGUACUACAAUGGGGGAGACAAAGGGCUGCAACAUAGCGAUAUGAAGCCAAUCCCAAAAACUCCCUCUCAGUUCAGAUUGCAGGCUGCAACUCGCCUGCAUGAAGCUGGAAUCGCUAGUAAUCGUAUAUCAGCAAUGAUACGGUGAAUACGUUCCCGGACCU
rnacentral:rRNA from 1 species